UGAUCUCCCAGGCGUCUGUGUAG
rnacentral:misc_RNA from 1 species